UAAGACGAACCGUGCGAACGUUAUUCGGAAUCACUGGGCUUAAAGCGCGUGUAGGCGGGUCGGUACGUCGGUCGCUGAAAUCCCCCGGCUCAACCGGGGAACGGGCGCCGAAACGGCUGGCCUGGAGGGGGGUAGGGGAAUCGGGAACUUCCGGUGGAGCGGUGAAAUGCGUUGAGAUCGGAAGGAACGCCCGUGGCGAAAGCGCGAUUCUGGACCCUUUCUGACGCUGAGACGCGAAAGCCAGGGGAGCGAACGGGAUUAGAUACCCCGGUAGUCCUGGCCGUAAACCAUGGGCACUGGGUAGGGGGCUCGCCGAUGGGCUCCCUGCCGCAGCGAAAGCGUGAAGUGCCCCGCCUGGGGAGUAUGGUCGCAAGGCUG
rnacentral:rRNA from 1 species